AACAUUCAUUGUUGUCGGUGGGU
rnacentral:ncRNA from 15 species